rnacentral:rRNA from 1 species
GAUGAACGCUAGCGGCAGGCCUAAUACAUGCAAGUCGAACGGUGUCUUCGGACAUAGUGGCGCACGGGUGCGUAACACGUAUGCAACCUACCUUACAUUGGGGGAUAGCCUUUCGAAAGGGAGAUUAAUACCACAUAAGACAGUAGCUGGGCAUCCAGCAGCUGUUAAAGAUUUAUCGAUGUAAGCUGGGCAUGCGUCCAAUUAGCUAGUUGGUGAGGUAACGGCUCACCAAGGCAAUGAUUGGUAGGGGAACUGAGAGGUCAAUCCCCCACACUGGCACUGAGAUACGGGCCAGACUCCUACGGGAGGUAGCAGUAGGGAAUAUUGGGCAAUGGACGCAAGUCUGACCCAGCCAUGCCGCGUGCAGGAUGAAGGCGUUAUGCGUUGUAAACUGCUUUUAUACAGGAAGAAACGACUCUUGCGAGAGGCAUUGACGGUACUGUAUGAAUAAGCACCGGCUAACUCCGUGCCAGCCGCCGCAGUAAUAC